CGAAGAACGACAUAACACAGAGAAGGAAAAAAAGGCCGUCAUGGCAAUAUUCAACAAGAACACAAGUGCCCAGUGCUUGUUGGCUCUUGUGCUCAUCGCUACUGUCAUUUCGUCUUGCGAUGCGUUUGGCCCAGAAGGAGGAUGUUUCAUGCCUUUCCUGAGUUGCGAUCUGGACUUAUGCAGGCGUGACUGCAACGGUUUAUUUGCCUCUUGCCAAAUGAUAGGCGAGUUUCACCACCGAUGUUGUUGCUCUCCCAAGAAACUCAGUGCAUCUAUUGAUAAGAAUAGUCAUCCUUGAGAUAUGCAUUCCGAAAUUGUAGUUUAUAUGUCAUUGCUUUUUCCUGGAUCCAAUUCUGCGCGACUGAGUAAAAUUUAUCGCAAUUGAAAAAAUAUUGCUCCCGAGAUAUUUACGUAUCUUGUGAAACCAUAAUGCUUUGUUUGGAUGUUCAUAUUCAAACUUCAACAAUGAUAUUGGGGCCAAUAUCAAUUCAACUUGGACA